GUCGAGGAUCUUCGGCAAUGGGCGCAAGCCUGACCGAGCGACGCCGCGUGUGCGAUGAAGGCCUUCGGGUUGUAAAGCACUGUCGAGGGGGAGGAAGCCGCAAGGUUGACCUAUCCCUGGAGGAAGCUCGGGCUAAGUUCGUGCCAGCAGCCGCGGUAAGACGAACCGAGCGAACGUUGUUCGGAAUCACUGGGCUUAAAGGGCGCGUAGGCGGGCAGCCAAGUCUGUGGUGAAAUCUUUCGGCUCAACCGGAAAACUGCCGUGGAUACUGGCUGUCUCGAGGGAGGUAGGGGCAUGUGGAACUUCCGGUGGAGCGGUGAAAUGCGUUGAUAUCGGAAGGAACUCCGGUGGCGAAAGCGACGUGCUGGACCUCUUCUGACGCUGAGGCGCGAAAGCUAGGGGAGCAAACGGGAUUAGAUACCCCAGUAGUCC
rnacentral:rRNA from 1 species